AAGGGAAGGGAGAAGAAAUGUGUGGGAAAUAUCAGAAAGGGAGACAGAACGUAAAGACUGCUAACUCUGGGAAACGAACUAGGGGUGGUAGAAGGGGAGAAGGGCGGGGAGUGGGAGUGAAUGGGUGACGGGCACUGGGGGUUAUUCUGUAUGUUAGUAAAUUGAACACCAAUAAAAAAUAAAUUAAAAAAAAAAGAAAAGGAAUCUAAGAACAAACUUAUUUAAUACAAUUAAUAAAGUAACUACCUUCGCCCAUUCAAAUUAGUCAAAUACACAACAUUUUUAAAUGAAAGCACCUUGGAAUAUAAAAAGAAAAAGGUAGAAACUUUUAAAUUACUUAAGGUACAUGAAAGCCUGAAUCUAAUAGCCUUUCAUUUUUGUAACUAUAUGUUCCACUGUAUUUUCCUAUUUAAAGAUCACUGUUCAAUUAUUCCAUCUCUUCCAGGAGGAAAAAAAAAAAAUUUAUCUUUCCCCAAUCUUACAAUGAAACUAGUUUUUCUUCUAUUACUCUUUUAGUCAUUUAAGCGCCUAUGUUCUUCACAUUUGUUGUUACGGUGAAUAAUAGGAUUUCUGGUAAAAAGGACAAGUUCUUAGUGUUUGCAAAUGACACUCCACUGGGAAGUAGGAGUUUAGGGAAAUUUUAGUGAAGAAUACAUUUCACAAUGUUAUGUUUGCUUUUUAAACAAUACAUUACUGAUUCUAGUCAGCUUGUUAUUUGUUAAAAUCUCUAAGUUAUCUUCUAUACUUGCCAAUAGCUAGCCAUUCUUCUUUUUGAAACUUGUUUUUCUUCCUGGUUUAUUCUAGCUCACCCCUAUGUUUUACUCAUUUUGUUUACUUCUUACUACUUCUCCAAUUUUCCGGGUCAUUUUGAUUCUAAUCUGGUCAUUGAGAAUGUGACUUCCUCUUCUGAGUUUUCAUUUCCCAACUAGGUUUCAUUUGCUGUGUGAAUGAACUGUCUUUUCUUGUAGUAUUAGUCACAGAUAAAAAAUGUCAUAUGAGAUUGGUUCCAGGACCACACCUCUGAGAGAUAACUGCUUGAUUCCAAAGAUAAAUGACUCCAUUGGUAAUCACUGUCUGGUUUCUAUUCUCUAUCCUAUUACACAAAGUUAAUAAUUCUAGUUUAAAAACCAAAUUUUAUCAGUUUUGGGAAGAGAGAUAAUGUUGAACAGAAACAAAGCCUUACCAAAAUCUUAGUUCCCUUUAUCUAUCUGCCUUACAGUGUAGGCCAUAUGAAGAUAAAGCAAGUCAAAAACCACAACAUUUGGUGGUCUGUGUUUUGGUCAUUUCUCUUCAGAGUUAAACCACACAUUUAAAAUCUAGAUAAAGAACAUUAAAAUGACAGGCAAUGGACUGAAAUCAAACAAAUGUUGUAAUCUUGCACAGUGUUGAUUAUGAAGAUUCAUCCUUGGUCUUGUGUACCUCUUAGCAUUGUUCCUUUACAUUUUAAUGGAAGUCUCAAAAUAGCAGGAAGGAGCCUCUUAGUACUGUUCCUUUAAAUUUUAAUUCCUGUCCCAAGAUCUCUUGUAAAUUUCAUUUUAGGAAUAUUCCGUAACGUAUAAAGGCACUCUAUCAAAACAGUUUUAUAUAGGGUAUGUGCCUAUGUUUGUGAAAGGAGGAGAUAUAUAUAUAUAUAUAUAUAUAUAUAUAUAUAUAUAUAUAUUCAGAAAAUAAAAUUUGGAAAGGUAUGCA
rnacentral:lncRNA from 12 species